UGGGGAAUAUUGCACAAUGGGGGAAACCCUGAUGCAGCGACGCCGCGUGAGUGAAGAAGUAAUUCGUUAUGUAAAGCUCUAUCAGCAAGGAAGAAAAAAGACGGUACUUGACUAAGAAGCCCCGGCUAAAUACGUGCCAGCAGCCGCGGUAAUACGUAUGGGGCAAGCGUUAUCCGGAUUUACUGGGUGUAAAGGGAGCGUAGACGGCAUGGCAAGUCUGAUGUGAAAGGCUGGGGCUCAACCCCGGGACUGCAUUGGAAACUGUCUGGCUGGAGUGCGGGAGAGGUAAGUGGAAUUCCUAGU
rnacentral:rRNA from 1 species